UUUUAGCCAAGCUUUUUUGCAUUCGUUUUCCGGUUGUGAAUUGUGUCAAUUCUUUUUAUUUUACAAGUAUUGCACUUUUCACGGCCGGAAAAAGGAUAAAAUAUUUAACACGUCUUAAU
rnacentral:pre_miRNA from 15 species